rnacentral:tRNA from 4 species
UAGCUCAGUUGGUAGAGCGCAACCUUGCCAAGGUUGAGGUCACGAGUUCGAACCUCGUG